rnacentral:rRNA from 1 species
CCUACGGGAGGCAGCAGUGGGGAAUAUUGGACAAUGGGCGAAAGCCUGAUCCAGCAAUGCCGCGUGAGUGAUGAAGGCCUUAGGGUUGUAAAGCUCUUUUACCAGGGAUGAUAAUGACAGUACCUGGAGAAUAAGCUCCGGCUAACUUCGUGCCUGCAGCCGCGGUAAUACGAGGGGAGCUAGCGUUGUUCGGAAUUACUGGGCGUAAAGCGUGCGUAGGCGGUUACUCAAGUCAGAGGUGAAAGCCCGGGGCUCAACCCCGGAACGGCCUUUGAAACUAGGUAACUAGAAUCUUGGAGAGGUUAGUGGAAUUCCGAGUGUAGAGGUGAAAUUCGUAGAUAUUCGGAAGAACACCAGUGGCGAAGGCGACUAACUGGACAAGCAUUGACGCUGAGGCACGAAAGCGUGGGGAGCAAACAGGAUUAGAUACCCUGGUAGUCCACGCCGUAAACGAUGAUAACUAGCUGUCCGGGCACUUGGUGCUUGGGUGGCGCAGCUAACGCAUUAAGUUAUCCGCCUGGGGAUACGGUCGCAAGNUUAAAACUUAAAGGAAUUGACGG